UCAGCAUUCAAUAUUUAAUGAUGCAUUUCAAUAAAAAAUACCUAAGAUAUUAGUCAAUCAGUCCUGAAAAAUAAUAAAAAUAUCAUUUCCAUUUAAUGACACAUGGCAAUAUUCCCAAUGAUUGAUUCAGAAGAAGAGUGACCAGAGCUGCACAUGGUAUUAUAGAGUAUAGGACUGCCAGCAUUACCAUGGAAACCCCCAAAAAUAAAGACAUUCCCAGCCUUAUGAGAGUACACCUGCAAGAGCAAGAACUGCCUAUCAAAAGUGACUUCUUCAUUAUGGGUGUCACCUAAGGACAUUUUGUGCAGAUCGUGGGGUCAGGAAUAGCACUUCAGAUUGAAGAAAUUGUUAGAACCGACACAUUCCAAUCUGCUCAGAAAGGACCCAUGUUUGUUUCAGGAGUGAUUUUCCUUGGACAUCAGUAAUUAAUGGAAACUCCAGAUCACUUCAGUGAAACGCAGUCUCACAUGAAAGAACCUGCAAAAUCUCAGAGAUCACAGUCUUAAAAGGACCCAAACCCAGUGAGCAACUGCAUCUUCCAUAAGUGAAACCUGUCCAUCUUCUAAAAUCACUCGUGGGGAGGAGAUGUCCACAGUAACAGUAAACUACUGUAACAGCAACCCAGGAAAAAUUAUGGCUAAGGUAAUACACCUUUGGGAAAAGCUUUUAAAAAGUACUUUGACUCUUUUUUUAACAUUUCUAUCAUAUAGAUUUACUAGAUUUUAGAAGUCUGUUUUACUCAAGCUUCUUCCUGAUCACCACUGUACAUCUGCAAAGUAUAUUUAUCAUCCAGG